UACGAAGGGAGCUAGCGUUGUUCGGAAUCACUGGGCGUAAAGCGCACGUAGGCGGAUUUGUUAGUCAGAGGUGAAAUCCCGGGGCUCAACCUCGGAACUGCCUUUGAUACUGCAAGUCUCGAGUCCGAGAGAGGUGGGUGGAAUUCCUAGUGGAGAGGUGAAAUUCGUAGAUAUUAGGAAGAACACCGGUGGCGAAGGCGGCCCACUGGCUCGGUACUGACGCUGAGGUGCGAAAGCGUGGGGAGCAAACAGG
rnacentral:rRNA from 1 species